rnacentral:snoRNA from 1 species
CCCCUCUCAGGGUCACACCUGGAAAGUUUCCAGUACUUUACCAGUCUUGGCUACCGGAGGGAGAGUCAAGCAGAGACCUACACAUUCUAUUCCUAUCUUGGCCAGUGGCUAGUGAGUGGAAGACAAUCUGCUACAAGU